GGCCUACCACGGUUUCAACGGGUAACGGGUAAUAAGGGUUCGAUUCCGGAGAGGGAGCCUGAGAAACGGCUACCACAUCCAAGGAAGGCAGCAGGCGCGCAAAUUACCCAAUCCCGACACGGGGAGGUAGUGACAAUAAAUAACGAUACAGGGCCCUUUUGGGUCUUGUAAUUGGAAUGAGUACAAUGUAAAUACCUUAACGAGGAACAAUUGGAGGGCAAGUCUGGUGCCAGCAGCCGCGGUAAUUCCAGCUCCAAAAGCGU
rnacentral:rRNA from 1 species